GUGUGUGUGUUUGUGAGUGUGUAACUGUGUGUUUUCAUUUCUGUGUUUGUGCGUGUGUGUGAGUGAGUGUUUUCAUUUCUGUGUUGGAAAUAGGUCAGAUAGCAAUAUCAAUCAGGAUACGUUGAAGUGACCCCUGACCUGUUGGAGUUUGGUAAUUUGGUGCACUACAUUCAUUGACAAGUGUUGAUAUGUGCGUGUGGAAAACUGGAAAUGAUCUUACGAUCUCUUGUAUUUUAUUUUUGAUCUGUUUUACAGAUCCAGGUACUGUGUGCGCAUACGUUUGUGUGUGAGUGAAUGUAUUUAUUUCUAUGUGUUCGAGUGUGUGCGUUUGUGUUCCUCCUACUACUACUACAGUCUACCUAUCUCUCUCUCUCUCUCUCUACCACCACCACUAUCAUUCGUACACUGUAACCGCUCACCACCACUCCCACCAUCAUUAUACAGUCGCUACCACCACCAUCACCACCCCAUCAGUAGAGUAACUUCUCCCCACCACUAUCACCAUCAUCGGUACACCGGUAUCUCCCGCCACCCCCACAUCAGUUCUGAGUAACUUUCACCACCACCACAACAGUCACCAUCACCACCCUCAUCGGUACAGAGUGUUCUAUCACGACAUUAUCUCUCACCACACCACAACACCGUCACCACCAUCAGUACAGAGUGACUUCCUCUCACCACGACGCACUUUUUACCUUUUACUACCACCACCAUCAGCAGCAGCUCUUAGUGCAAUGUUUAAAAGCCAUUAUCAAACUCACUACAAGGAUUAUUAUGUUGCUAUCUCUUCCGCUCGUGUGUCCAAAUGGUCACCCUGUCGUGGACUUAGGCCAGUUCCUUACCUCCACCUUGGACAAUGAAAAGAUUUUACCAAGCAAGUAGCCCAUGCGAAGCUUCAACUAUAUGAAGUAUCCCAUCCAUCAUGCCUCAGAUGUGUUCAGUAGGGUUCAUAUCUGGUGAUUGGCUUAGCUAUGGAAGCUUUUUAAUGCCAUUCUCUUCCAACCAAUCCUGGGUCUUUUAGUUGUGCAAGAAAGCCCUAUCUUCCAUAAAUAGUGUUAUUUAAUCAUUUUACUCCUGGAGGUUAUAGGAAGAAGAUUUUUCUAUAAUAUGGACACAUAUUUAUCUGAGUUUAUGUAUCCCUCACAUUCCACCAUUUCUGAUUGACUAUUGCUCCAAACUGCUCUCUAGACCAUCACAUGUUUCAUUGUUGGCUGCAAUAUAUUCACGUGAAAAUAUUGGUGACUGAUUCUCCAGACCCACAUUCGACCAGUGUCAGAAAAUACAGCAAAUCUGGAUUCAUCAGAGAAUUUGACUGUGUCCCAAAGUGCUAGUGACCUCUCUACCAUCUCACUUGUCCAAUCUUUUCUCCAUUUGAUAUUGGCUGGUCGAAGCAGUGUCUUCUUUCUUGCUGCUCUGCCAUAAUAGCCAAUUUUGCGGAGAUAACUGACAGCUAUUCUGGGACUGACAUCAACUUAUUCUGCUAUAUUGGAGGCCUUGCAAUGAGGAUUAUCUUACACACUUCUCUUAAGAAAGCAAAGUGUUCUGUCAGAGGGCCUUAGUCUACCUGGGUAAGGUGAUAUGGACUACUUUCCCGUUUAGUGAAUUGAAAAAUUACUCUAUUUACUGUAGAAAGUAGAAUCACAAUGUUUUCUGUGGUUUUAGGCUAAGUCAGCCUUGAAAUAGGCGCAGCAUAUGGCCUCUUUGUAAAUUGGACAUUUUUAAGGCUUCUUUUGUACAUGGCAUGAUUAAACAGUUACAUAUAGAACCUGAAACAUAUAAAUGUCAAUUAAUAAA
rnacentral:lncRNA from 1 species